rnacentral:rRNA from 1 species
AUGGCAAAAAUGUCAUCACUUUUUGCGACGCCACCGAUACAAUUUUUGCCAUUUCACCUACACAAUUUUUACCAUGGCAAAAAUCCUAUAACUUUUUCCAUGUCACCAACACAAAUUUUGCCAUGGAAAAAAUCUUAUAAUUUUUGCCAUGUCACCAAUACAAUUUUUGACAUUUCACCAACACAAAUCUUGCCAUGGCAAAAAUCCUGUAACAUUUUCCAUGUCACUGAAACAAAUUUUGCCAUGACAAAAAUCCGUCACCAUAUAUCAUGUUCGACACCUCGUGAUUUUUGCCAUAAAACCAUCAAAACACAAAACCUUUUUCAGACAAAACUUUUUCGGAAACAGAAUCGUUAA